AACGAACGCUGGCGGCAUGCCUAACACAUGCAAGUCGAACGAGACCUUCGGGUCUAGUGGCGCACGGGUGCGUAACGCGUGGGAACCUGCCCUUAGGUUCGGAAUAACUCCCCGAAAGGGGUGCUAAUACCGGAUAAUCUCUUCGGACCAAAGAGUUAUCGCCUUUGGAUGGGCCCGCGUUGGAUUAGCUAGUUGGUAGGGUAAAAGCCUACCAAGGCUACGAUCCAUAGCUGGUCUGAGAGGAUGAUCAGCCACACUGGGAAUGAGACACGGCCCAGACUCCUACGGGAAGCAGCAGUGGGGAAUAUUGGACAAUGGGCGAAAGCCUGAUCCAGCAAUGCCGCGUGAGUGAUGAAGGCCUUAGGGUUGUACAGCUCUUUUACCCGGGAUGAUAAUGACAGUACCGGGAGAAUAAGCUCCGGCUAACUCCGUG
rnacentral:rRNA from 1 species